rnacentral:misc_RNA from 1 species
AAAUUAUUGGCAGAAGCUAAAAAAAAACAAACAGGAAGCUGUCACCAUGAAAAUUGAACUCUUGAUCGGUGUCUUCCCAUGGCUGUGUAUUUUAGCUUCGUCAACAUCAAGCGUUGUAAACAACACGGACAACGAGCUCGGUCCCCUUCGGAACGUUUGUGUUUCAACGAUAUCGCACACUGUUACAUAUUUAGAGCGUGUAUAUUUCACCAGAAUUGUCCACACACGAAAAUGCAAAUUGAUUGUGUUUUGUAAAACCGUUUACAGUUUACAACGACUUUCUCGGCUAGAAAGGAGAACGAAGAUCAUCUACAGAAUGAAGGCCCACUGUUGUAAAGGUUUCACGAAGAAGGACAACCUCUGCAUUUCAAUUACAACACCAGCUCCCAGCACAACUGUCAUGCCAACUACUAAGACUUUCUUUGAAAUUCACUCUUCAGGCAGAAUAAGGAUCGAUGGAGGUCCUCUUUUUACCAAAGCUGCUUAUAGUGGCACCACCAAAUCCUCUCCCUGGAACCAAACUGUCACCACGACGUAUACCAACAGCAGUUAUUUUCCUCGAUACGGCGAAGUGUCCAUCACCUCUGGAAGCAGUAUGGUCACCAAAAUCGCGGUCGUGGUCAGCGCGGCUGUUGCAGCUUGUCUCUUGGCUGCAAUUAUUGUUGCAUGUCGGCGCAGGAAGAAGGCAGCCAACUCUACAAGUGAAAUCCCGUGUGACAGAGAAGUCCUCGCUCUUCCACCAAACUCACGAAACAACUGCUGGGACUUACCUGAAGGUUUAAGCUGUAACGUGGCGGCACCGGAUGAGAAUUACUACGUUAGUAUGAACAACGGUUUCACCUCGGAAACACCCAACGUCAACAGGAUGCUCUCCACACGAGGCUCUCGGUACAGAUUUGAUGACCUCGAGGAAGGAAACUGCGGCGGCAGGACCCGAGGAGACACACUUUAUGUGCUCCCUGAUCCAAAAUUUGGGCAAGGAAAUGCGAAAACCUGCAGGAUAAGAGAGGAGCCUGAACAGAAUUGUGGUAGUUCUUCAGAUAUUUACGUCAACGAGAGGCCGGAAAGUUCUGAAGGAACCUCUGCUAACAACGACAACGAUGAUAUAUACUCAGAAAUUAAGAGCAGCACCAACAACACUUCGCAGCCAUUGCACUAUGCAACGUACGAAGACAUCAACCAAGAUAACAAGACGGAUGUUAACGGCAACGGUAGAGGUGGUCGUGGUAAGGAUGGCAGUGGAAGAAGUGAUAAGGCUAAAGGCGAAUUUAUGGAACUAACAGACCUUGCAAAGACGAAAAAUGAAGAUACUUACAACGUACCAAAAUCUCGUUCUAAAUUUAACAACCAGAAAUCGUCCGACGAUCGUGGCGACGAUACUGCUGAUGGUGGUGGUGCUGGUGCUGGUGACGACCGCAAAAACAAUAAUGGGGAUGAUGAUAGCAUUGAAGGGAGUCGCAGCAAAACCUGCGACAGUGGAAUCUAUAUCUAUCUGAACAGUAAAGAAGAGGAUGACGAGCAGGAGGACGAAAGUGACAUCAUUUACAGCGUUCCAUAUAGCAACAGCAACAAUAACAACAGCAACAACAACAACAGCAAUUGCAACAACAACAACAACAGCCCAUCGCACAGUGACUGCAUUAAGUGCCCUGACACGCGACAACCAAGAAAACAACGGCGCGCUGCCGUCGUCCAGUCGCACGUCUACCAAAACGCCAUGUUCGAUGGCGAAGAAGCUGGACACAGCAACGACGUUGCAAAGACGAACGCUGCCUCGUCACUUUCGUCGUCGCCAUCACCGUCUUUAUCGUCGUCGUCGUCGCUGCAACAGUGGCAAAACGAGGGCAUGAUAUACAGAAACGUAGCAGACGAUUGUUGCGACGAUCAGACUUUGUACCAAGACAUCGACAACACAAAGAAUGAGGUCCAUGUCUGAGAUGGAAAUGGAUGAAAAGAUGGCGUACGUGUGUGUGUGUGUUUGUAUGUGUACGCACGCGUGUGAAGAUAUACAGAUAUAUAUGUGUGUGUGUGUGUAUUUGUG